UACGGGGGGGGUUAGUGUUAUUCAUCGUUACUGGGUGUAAAGCGCGCGUGGACUGUUUAAGAAGUUCUAGUUAAAAUAAUCUAAGCGUAACUUAGAAGUUAACUUUUAUACUCUUAUAACUUGAGGUUAAAAGAAGGAAGCUAUACUUCUCAGAGAAAUGUGAAAUUUGUCCGAACUGAGGGGGAUAACCAGCAGGCAAAAGCGGCUUCCCUAUUAUAAUUCUGACGUUUAGGCGCAAAAGCCUGGGGAUCAAACGGG
rnacentral:rRNA from 1 species